GGCACGGUGGUGCAGUGGGUAGCAUGGCUGCCUCCCAGCCAGACAGUUUCGAGUUUGAAUCUGGCCUGGGGCC